UUGUGGAGGAGGACGCCGAAGGUGGGGCUAAUGACUGGGGUGAAGUCGUAACAAGGUAGCCGUACCGGAAGGUGCGGCUGGAUCACUUCCUAACAGGGAGACAACAAAAUGUUUAAUAUUAUUUUGUCACCUUAGGUCGAUCGGUAUCUCACGUUCUUGAUUUAUUGAGAAUUUCAUUUCCUAAGUUUUUCUAGGUCACACCCAUUAUUUUUCCUGGGCCAUUAGCUCAGGUGGUUAGAGCGCACCCCUGAUAAGGGUGAGGUCCCUGGUUCAAGUCCAGGAUGGCCCAUAUCUCUAUGUUGGGGGUAUAGCUCAGUUGGUAGAGCGCCUGCUUUGCAAGCAGGAUGUCAGCGGUUCGAGUCCGCUUACCUCCACUGAUUACCACCUCUUCCAUAUCUCGGAUAAAGGAAAUUUUUUGUGUUGUGAUCAAAUUCUGAACGAAUCUAGCUUCCUAAUGAAAUUAUUAAGAUGCUGGACUCAUUGAAUUAAUUUCAUUGUUUUCAGAGAACCUUGACAACUGCAUAGAUUAUUUUUAAAGACAAUAAGCAUCUUUAAUGAUGCAGAUUUAUUAUUUGUGCGAAUGCAUUAAUAACAAUUCUAUUAAGCUGAUGCUUCAAUUUUGAAGUUAUUGGUCAAGCUACAA
rnacentral:misc_RNA from 1 species